UCAGUAGCAAUAAGCUGAGGCAGACACAUUUUUUUUAUUCAUUGCAUUGUUUUCUGAGUUCCAUAUUAAAAUUAUUUUUUUCCUUUUCUGUAUCGAGCAGCUACAAGCUGAUAUAUUUUUUUUUAAAUUGCAUUGUUCCUUAGAAAAAUGCAAAAAACAAGGGAACAAUUAUUAUUAUUUGCCUCUUCCAACUGCUACACGCUGUAGUGGCUCUCUUUUUUUCUUUUUUUUU
rnacentral:lncRNA from 1 species